UACGGAGGGGCAAGCGUUGUUCGGAAUUACUGGGCGUAAAGGGCGCGCAGGCGGCUGCUCAAGUCAGGCGUGAAAGGCCUGGGCUCAACCCGGGAAUUGCGCUUGAGACUGGGCUGGCUUGAGUGCGGGAGAGGAUGGUGGAAUUCCCAGUGAGAGGUGAAAUUCGUAGAUAUUGGGAAGAACACCGGUGGCGAAGGCGGCCAUCUGGACCGCAACUGACGCUGAGGCGCGAAAGCGUGGGAGCAACAGG
rnacentral:rRNA from 1 species